AGUGAACGCUGGCGGCAGGCCUAACACAUGCAAGUCGAGCGGCAGCGGGUCCCCGCGAGGGGAUGCCGGCGAGCGGCGGACGGGUGAGGAACACAUCGGAAUCUGCCUGGUUGUGGGGGAUAACGUAGGGAAACUUACGCUAAUACCGCAUGCGACCCUGAGUCGACGGACUUGGGGUGAAAGUGAGGGACCUUCGGGCCUCACGCGACCAGAUGAGCCGAUGUCGGAUUAGCUAGUU
rnacentral:rRNA from 1 species